CCUUUAAGGUUGAACCACUGUAGUCACAUGACUGUUUUAACAAUGUCUUUAGUUCCUUUCUGGACCUUGAAAGUGUUGAUUUUAUUGCUGUCUUUGGAAUCAUAAACCUCUCAGAUUUCAUCAAAAAUAUCUUCAUGUGUGUUUUGUUGUUUUUGUACUGCAUGCAUGUGAUAUUUUCUGGCCCGAUUUUACAAAAAACAUCUGACACAAACCAUGUGAUUAAAACCCAUUUGUGCGUAAAAGAUCUAAAUCUUUCUGUGUUGAGAGGAAUAACACACUGAGUUAAAAGUAACACAAAAUGUGUCGUCCUUAUCUAGACACACAGAUGUGUUGAGAAAUAAAAAGGUUGUGGUUUUCAACACUUCGGUUUUAAGAGUCCAAAAACACCCAGAUCAACUAACCCUAACCUCCGCAAAACUGUGUGUCGACAUGACGAGAAUCAGCGCCGGUGUGAGUGUUUCGAGAACAGGAUUGAGACUACGUUUGGGCAGAAGAACGAUCUUUUGACACGACAACUGACAAGAAACUUGACAUCUGACAGCAUCUCCAGGCCAUGAACUCAGAGCACAGCUCAUCUCAGCCACACGGUCCUGGAAUCACUAAAGCAGAACCGCUGGAUCAGGGAGGGCAUUUCCUCUGUUAUCACGUCAUCAGUACAUCUUUGUAAACGCGUCUCAUCUCUCCAGUUCUUUCAGGUUCAGCGUUGACUGUAAGAUCUGCACUGACUGCGAUAACAGAUACUGUCUGAGCACCAUCAGAACAACAUCAUGCUGCUCGGAACCACACAUUUUGUCGUCAUUGGCGUAGUAUCAGCGGUGGUUUUGAUCGUCAUCAUCAUCGCCCUCACCUGCUGCUGCUUUAAGUAAAAAUGGAAAUAGUGUAUCAGAUCUCCAGUGAGACCCCGCCUGAUUGGACGCAGAUUAUACCGUGGAUGUGUUUUAGUCAUGGUUAUUAAAGACAUUUUUAACAUUCUUGAAUUUGUUUCAUUUUCAUUGUCAGUUUUACUUUAGUGUUUUGUUCCAGUUUUGUUGAUGUUUCUUCCAUUAUAUUUAGUUUCAGUGUUUUAGAGCUGUCAAAGUUAACAGAGCUGAAUGUAAAUCUAGUGUCAUGUUUAAUGCAGGUGGAUUGAUUGUAAAUGCUCAAAAUUGACUGAUUAAUAUAUUGUGUAUCAAAGACUAAAAUUAACUCAUGGUCAGUUUUAUUUUGUUAGUUUCCACUUUUGUUAUUUAGGUUUUCAUUAGUUUUCACUAACAGUGAAAUGU